rnacentral:rRNA from 1 species
CAGCCGCCGCGGGAAUACGAAGGGGGCUAGCGUUGUUCGGAUUUACUGGGCGUAAAGCGCACGUAGGCGGAUUCUUAAGUCAGAGGUGAAAUCCCAAGGCUCAACCUUGGAACUGCCUUUGAUACUGGGGAUCUCGAGUCCGGGAGAGGUGAGUGGAACUGCGAGUGUAGAGGUGAAAUUCGUAGAUAUUCGCAAGAACACCAGUGGCGAAGGCGGCUCACUGGCCCGGUACUGACGCUGAGGUGCGAAAGCGUGGGGAGCAAACAGGAUUAGAUACCCGUGUAGUCCCUGUCUCUUAUAC